GGGUUGGCAGUGGAGGCAAGGGUAUCUUGUUGGAGAUUUCUGCAUACCUGAGGCCUUCUAAAGGUGGUGAUCUCUCAUAGUUUUCACAAGUUGACACACAAUAUAUUGCUGUGCAGAUGGGACAAAUAAUCAUGAAGUCCCUUUCAUGAUUCUCCAAAUGAAGGGUAUAGAUAUACAGCUAAAAUCUACUCAUCCAUUUUCAGUUGCCUAGCAAUGGCACAACUGCAAAGGAAAGAAUGGUAUGUUGUGUGUGAUACAUUUUUUUAUUGUUAUCAAUAAUCUUGUGUCCACACAGUUCUCCUUCAUGAUGAUCUUGCCUGCCAUCCCAAAUAACUGAUUUUAUUUCCUUGACUUGUCAAACCCAGACUACUUAGUAUGAAGUGAGAUUUUUAACUAAGGAGGGAAUGCAAGGCUUUCCCAUUACAAAAUCAAUUUUAAUUUAGUUUCAAUAUCAAAGUUUGCUUUGAAUAUAUGCUCCUUGAAUUCAGCUAUGUUAAUAGCAAUGCUUAGGUCAGACUAUCUGAAUCAAUUUUAUAAAAAUUCAAGACUAAGCACAACUUUUAUGUUUUUGGCUCAGUCUUGUUUUAGUGUCAUUAACUGAAAAUUGGUUCACUUCCUUUACCAGCUUAUCUAGCUAUAGAUUGUAAGUAAAGAAUGAAGCCAGCCUUAUGUGCACCCUCAGGAGAGAACAGUUCCAAGCAGUUACCUGUGACAGCAGAAAAGAAAUAUGGCCCUAAGUAUUCCUAAGACUCAGCAGUUUCUACACAGCGAGGUCUGCCUCCUGUUGCCCCCUUCUAUCCUACACAUAAUUCUUAUUAAUGUCCUCAUAUUGCACAUUUUAAAUCAUCAUAUAUUUAUGAAGCAGGAGAAAAAGCAAACAAGUAUGGAGCUGUCCCUUUAAAGAAAGCACAACAGACCAGAUCAACGUGGCUUUUAUAUGAUUUUCCAACGUAUUUUCUUUCUUUAGAAGCAAUCAUGGUGCUGAGUUAAGGUAACGAAACAAACAAUAAGAACAACUGCAAACUGAAACAACAACAACGCUGCUCUUUUUUUUUUUUUUUUUUUUUCCCCCACAAAACUAAAGCAUUCUUGGCUAUAGCAUCCCUCUUCCAAAUGACUGUCUACAAAAACUAUUGAAGUAGGUUGGAUUUACAUCCUACAGCUCCAUGUAAAUUUAGUGUGCUUUUUCUCUUCUUGUUUUUUUUUUUUUUCUCCCUUAGCUUUAACUCAGAGAAACUCUCUAGCCUUCACUAGAUCAAUCUGAAAUCUCUGUCCUGCCUUCUGACAACAAGAUUUCUAAUCUGACUCUCACUGUAUACAUAUAUUCUUAUAUAUAUAUUCUUUUCCCUCUGGGAAUUUUCCUACUCAAAAAAGUACUGAGAAUGGCACUUCCACAUUGAAUUUAUCAUAAUAUCCUUAUAAGAUUUGGAGGGAGGCAUGUGCUGGGCACUGGUUUUUCCAGCUUUUGAGUUUCAAGUUCUGCACAGUGUUUGGCAAAACAAAUUGUGGUUCAGUACAGAAUGAAUGCUUCACUGAUGUUGUACUUUUCCAUUUCCCCUGUGGAAUGGUGGAAAUGAUGAUUUGAUCCUUCUUUUCUCAUAGAAAAUGGCAUCUUUCCUCUCCAAUUUUUCUAGUAGCUAGAAAUCUGAAGAACUGUUCUUUCUCUUCUCAGAAGUAUUGCACUCUUUUAGAACUGCAGUAUGUAAGAGAAAUUUUCAUGUCAUUCAUGAGAAAAAAAAUGUAAGGAAUUAACAAGUUUUGCACCAUCAUGUCAAGUCCUGAAAAUCUACAACUUCCAACAGGAUUUGGCUCAUUUGUGUUGUUCAUACGUGUAUAGGUGGAUCUGUUUUGAAGACCUGUUUUGUUCACUUCUGUUUUGAAGACUAAGAUGGUAGUGAGGCUACUGAAGCUAUGUAGAUGAAAGGAUUUACACGCUUGCCUGAAUGGUAGACAGUUCCUGAGGGUUUCAAGAGGAAAACUUGCAACAUCAUAUUCCACAGGCUCUCUCCUCCACUUACAUUUGGGUUUCUAUACUCUUUGUGCUGGAAAGGGGCAUUCUUCUCUACAGAUUAAGACAUUGUUAAAAUUUCAGUACUUCAGUAGGAUCCUAUUUUAUUUACAACAGGUGCUGCUGUGAGCUGAGGAACAGUCCACUACUUCUCAAGAUUGUGAAAGAGCUACACUGUACUAAUUCUAUGAUAUUACUCCCAAGUAUGGUUGAUAUAGCUGAACUUCUAUAAAUGCUAUAGUCAUGAGGCAUGUCAGGUAAGAUAGACAACACUUCUGGUUUCCACAUUCAUCUACCUUUGAAUACUUUUGCCCUGCAUGUAGACCACAGAAAUUUCAUGAUGUGAACAACCUUAGGGAAACAUAUGAAAGCCACUGAAGAAUGGUGUAAAUAGGAGAAAAGAGAGACAUAAAUAGGAUUAAAAUGUAGCAGACACCCUGAGAUAAAUUACUGCCUUGUACUUUAGUGUCAUUUUCAUUUUAAAGUAGUCCUUGUGAGGGAAAGCAAGAGUCAUUUUCAAUCUGGCACUUGAAUACUGAAUUAAUGGAGAAAUGGAAAACCUUGCUGUGGCUUCAGCAGAGAUCCAAAUAUUUUUUCCAGAGACCUUUUCUGCUCCACAUUUAAACAACAUUUGUCUUAGAGAUGCUUGAAUCUAUUUAAAGGUAAACUAAGAUCUCAUUUAGCCUUGUGAUAUUUUCAAGAUUCACCAAGAAGCCGUGACAGUAUGAAGAGAUCAAAAUUAUUAUACUCUAGUGAAAAACAGCUUUGGGAAAAAUGAACUGGUAAACUGACAUUAAAGCCAAUGCUUCAAUAAAAUAUACACCACUAGCACUUUGGCCUAUCUACCAUUCUUAAGGUGCUCCUGAUCUCUUAUUUGAAACUCAUGAGAAUGUUGAGGGAGGCUAUGGAAAUACUGAGGGAAUUAUCUGCAUUAAACUGGGAUCUGAUAAAUUAUCUGCAUUACACUGGGAUCUGGUAAAUAAAAGAAAUUACCUUUUCGGGUAAUUUAUGUCCAAGGUUGAAGAAGGCCUCUGAGAUUAUUUAACUCAACUGUUCACCUACCAUCACCAUUUCCCCACUAAACCAUGACUCUUUGUUCAACGUCUAAACAUUUCUUGAACACCUCCAGGGAUGAUGACUCCACUACCUCCCUGGGCAGCCCAUUCCAGCACCUGACCACUCUUUAGAUGACAUUUUUCUUAAUAUCCAAUCUGAAUCUUCCCCGGUGCAACUUGAGGUUGUUCUCUUUAGUUGUAUUGCUACUUAUGUGGGAGAAGAGGCCAACCCCACCUCAUCACAACCUCCUUUCAAGCAGUUGUAAAGAGCAAUAAGGUCUUCCUUGAGCCUCCUCUUCUCCAGUCCAAACAAUCCCAGUUCCCUCAUAAAGUUCAUGAAAGAAUUUGGUAAAUUCAUGGCCAAAUAUCCAUAAACAGAAACUAAAGCAGGAUACUCACACAUAUACCUUCUAGCAUCACCCGCUGAAUUAUUUUGAGUUCUGGGAGACCACCAGUGGAAAUGGUAGGGUUUGCAUAUUCUUCCUAAGUAAUUUUACCUGUGCCAGACAGAAUACUAGGCUAGAUAGGCCAUCCAUCUGAUGCAGUUGGUGUUUCUUACAUUUGUACUCACAUGUAUAUAUGUGCUCUGACACAACUGAAGUGUACCUACAGCGUAUUCUGUUGCAAGGUACAGACAUAUGUGGGUUUUUUUGUUUUGUUUUGUUUUGUUUUUUGUCGUUGUUUUUUUCUAUCAGGUACAUUAUUGAUCUAGAUAAAAAUAUGUUUUUAAGAGAGCUCUGUAUAUAAGUUAAGGAGCGGAAUUAAUGCGCUGACAUUUUACAAAGUGCCAAUACAAGCUGUUGGACUUAACCUGCUGUCUAGGUUAGUCUAAUUUGGCUUGGCUUUAAAGAGGCUGACUAUUCAGAAUAAUCUGGGUUAAGUUGAUUUUUGCACUAAGCAAACUAAAUCCAAACUGCAAAUCAAUCUUUACUUUGUAUAUACAGAGAGUACGCUAUCUGUUCCAAUGUUUGUUACAUGCUGAAUCAUUCCUCAGUGUGAAUUCUAAGACAAAAAUUCAAAUAGAACUUUCUAGUCCCACUCCUAUUGCCAGUGAGGGACUGCACAUGACGGUUAAUUUCUAAGGGUGCAUCUUCAGUAACUUCAGAUCUGCCUCCAUUAGUAAUGGCUUAUUAAUCUUUUCUGUUAAAUUUAUUGGGAAUUUGGGCUAUUCUGUAAUACUUCAAACAAAGCAGUGCUGUCUUAGUAGCAUCUAAGUAGUACCACUGGGAGUUUAGACAGUAACUUUUUCUAUUCCUCUUCUUCUAUCUGUUAAAUGGAGACUGAAAGGCUUACAGAACUUAGUGUUAUUAAUGUUUGUACAGAUCUCAGGUAAAAAUACCAUAAAAAGGCAAGAUCUGGCUUUAAUAAAAGUUCAGGGCUGUGUCUUAUUUUAUUUAUUUCUUUUUGACCUUUGAAGGGGGUGAAAUCUGAACUUUCUACUGUUCCUAAAUGUAAUUCCUGAUGCUUAUGACUUAGAACUUAAAGUCUCCCGUUUUAGCUGUAGUUAUCAUGAAUUAGUGAUGCAAAUACAUUAUAUUUGAUGCCUUUAAAUUGAGUAUUUGACACUUUAAAACCACAUUAACACUACUGGAGCACUAAGGCUACAAUAACUCGAUUUUAAAAGAUUAUUCCUGUGAAAUCCUAUGAUAGUUUGUAAUUCAAGAGCAACACUUUCUACCUUUGCAUUCUUUAUUCUCAUUGUCUCUUUUCUUCAGUCACCAGAAGAAUCAUGUUACAAAAACAAUGUAGUUAGGUAAGAGGUCCUGGAUAUGUAUGUGGGUGUAUGCAAUACCCUGUACACUCUCACAGUUGAACAGUGAUACAGCAGUUCCUAAACUAGGAAGUAUCUUUCUAGAAGACAUAGUCUUGUAAUAAAAUAUGGUGUAUUCUGUGGGCUGAGACUUCAGCAGAUGUAAUUUUUAAUAACUGCAACCAGCUACAUUUUUAGAAUGCUAUGUUGGUUGAAGAUAAGCGGCUAUCUGGCAGUGCAGAAGUUCAGUUCUCAAUCAGGAGUUUGAUAAGGAGAAUGUUUAUGCUUGUCAGAUCUCUUUUAAAAAGUAAUGGAAUGAUUACAGAAGAAACUUGUUUUCUGGGCUGAAAAGAGACUAGCAAAUAAUUUUAACUUCAUAAGACAACUUCAAUAAAGUUAGAUGCAUUACCAUGAUCAUUUUCAAAAGACUGUUUAACAUGACCAUUUAUAUUAUGACUAAAACAGAUUUCAGGAAGGCAAUACCAGAUGUAUAGAUCUCUAAUGGUAAAAUCAUAUUCAACUACAUAAUAUAUAACAGAUAUAUAUUUUUUUAUACAAAGAAAUAAAGUUUGGAAACAAUUCGUGUAAAAUAAUGAGAUAACCAUUUUGUUGAAAGCAAAGUAUGGGUGCUCUAUUUAAAAGAAUGGAUGGUUCUCAUUACGAUGCCUAUUGUAGGAAAACUACAAGGUGAUACUGCCUUCUGAAAGAUUCCUCCACAUAAUGAAUACUGCUCAAACUUCUAGUCAAUCUAUAUGAAAAGUUACUUCUGGAGACUUCACUUGCAUAAAAGUCACUGUAUCUUGCCAUUAGAAUUCGUUGACAAAUGUAUUUAAUUUAUGUUCGGUGUAAUUGAACUACUCCAUCAUUCCUUCCUGUUUGGACAGUUAUGGCCACUUAGGAGUUUUACGUCACUUUUAACCUUGGAUGAUACCGGUUUUUCUUUUUGAUGGUCCAGAACUAAGAAACUAUAAUUUCAUUGUUCACUCAGCAGUUUUUUUUUGGUUUUUUUUUUUGUCCAUUUAUAUUUUUCCCAAUGUUGGAUCAAUAUAAACUCCUUUAAUAAAGAUAAUGGAAAAUCUCCAUGCUCUUAAUUAAUCCUCUCUUUCCUGUUUUAUAAAUAUUUUUAAAUCUUCCUAUCAUUUUUUCCAUGCUGACAUCUUCAUUUUUUUUUUCUCUUACAGUCUGAUAUUUGGACCCUAUCUUUUCAUAACAUUGAUUAUAUAGAUGCAUCAAUAAAACCUCUAUCUAUAUAUCUGCAUAUAAUUCACCUAUAAAGGUUCUAAAAGAGACAUAUUGCCAGUAAACAUUUAGGCUUUUCCAAUUGGCAUCUUAGGAUGUUCUUUGUCUUACAGGUUGAUAGCAUCAUUUUGAGGGAGGCAAAUAUAUAGAGUACUUCAGGCCUGGAAGAACCUCCAGCAUAACACUAGUAAAGCUCAGGGAUUUACUAGUGGUGAUGAGCUGUCAUCAGGUCUUAAAGGUCUUUAUCUUAAAGAUAGAAAAAGUAAUAAGACAGACUGGACCAUAUGCAUGGGAGGAAACGUCAAUGGUAUCAGAUAUAUAUACGAAUAUUUAAAAAUAUGUGGGGUUAUUUCCCAAUUACUAGUUCAAAGGAAAAAAAAAAGGGGCAAGGAAGAUUAAAAUUUUUGUUUGUUUGUUUGUUUUUUAACUAAAGGAAAAUUAAAAAAAUAAAAAUAAAAAGGAAAAGGAAGAGAAAAACCCUGUACAGAGGAAGAAGCUUUUUCAAUCAAAAUAUUUUUUUUAUCUAGUGUUAGGCAGACAGCCUGCAGAAGAUGACUACCCACUAGCAUUCUAACUUCUCUCUUUAGACAUAUAUCCAAGACUGCUCAUUAGCAUUCCCAAGCAUGUACCAAUUUGAAAAUGUCUUCCUUUCAACUCAGCAAUAUGGAAACCCCAAAGUGCACUUUAUUUGCCUAAUACGUUCCUUCAAGAUGUUCAAAAUCAGUUGUGAGUCUUCUGGUUAUAUUCAAGUGAAAUCCACUCAAAGGAAAAAAAUUCUUUUUACUAAAUAAUGAAGGCAGAGAGUGCAAGAAAAUAUGGUGUUCUGGACUGAGCAGUGGCAAGAAACACAUGGUAUUCUCGUAUGAUUAUAUAUGCAGCACUGUCAUCUUAACAGCAAAGUGUUGUGGUUCUUAUCAAAUCUGAUUACAGAAUCACCAACAGAUAAUAUUAUUUUGCUUGCUAAAAGAAAUAUAUUUUAAAAUGCUCAAAUGAUCACUCAGUAAGUUGAUCAGCCAAAUUCACAAUCAACCAAGAAGAGACCGAUGAGUCCAAUAUUAUUCAGAGCACAAAAAUUUUCCUCCACGUUACUUAUUGUAUUGAUAUUGUUUUUAUUUUCAGCUCCACAAGGAGACAAGGAAAACUCCCUCCAUCCUCCACUCAUAAACAUUACCAGUGUACCUAGAUUUGCACCUUGCUUGUUCUGCUGUGCUAUGUUGAGAUGCUAUUUAUUUCAUCUUGCAUUACAUACUUCCCUGGAAUUAGGAGUGAAUGGAUACCUAGUUACCAGCAAGUCAGUGAUUUUCCUUUGAUCGGAGAACACUCCCACUGUUAGUAGGCUGUGAAAGUUAACAAAAUGUAAAGAACUGGAUCAAAAAAAAGGUAAAUACUGGUUAAAAAAAGUAAAUACAAAAAAUACUCUGUAAUAUGAGCAUGUAAGCUGAAAUUGUAAUCAGGUGGGGUGUAAGUUGUGCUUUAUAAGGCACAAUCAAAGCACAUCAGUAGCUAAUUUGCCUUCAUUUAACUGGUUAAUGGCAUUUUUUAUAACACAGAAGAAUUCAUCCCCUUCCAUCUCAGUUUCCUGUAAAACAGAGCAGCAAUAUUUAUAUACCUCCCAGGGCUAUUGCAAGGAUUCACUAAUUAGAUAUAGAUUUGUUUUCAAAUGGGGUGACUCAACCACUGCUCAGUCUCUCCACUCUGCUCCAGCAGGGUCAGAGCUCAGGCAUCCUGCUUCCUUGGGGGCUCUUUUCUGAGCUUUGGUGAAAUGAUAACAAGGGACUUUGAGAGCUUGCUUUCCUGUACUGCAUGCCAUAUUUCAGGAGAAUUACUAGAUUAUUUAGCAAUAGCUUAAUGAUACAGAAUAGGAAGGAACAUUUUUAGAGCUGGCAUCUUAGUUGUCUGUUCAACAUGCACUGUGUGAGUACACACAGUACAAAUCUCCUCAAAGGAUCUACAGAUGAAAGGAGCUUCCUUGUAGCUUUCUCAACUUUCUUUUUUUGGGAGUUCAGGAUGUGGUUUUCAUCCCAACUUGCAUGUCCAUGCUGUCUUCCAGCCUCUCAGAGACUUCUCUCAACUCCUCAUGCGUUCUGCAACAACUCUUCAAGGGUAACGAGUUGCUACGCAGGAGACCCUGUACACCUGUAGAGUGCAAAAACAAGAAAAAGACCUCUGUAUCCUCCAUUGCUUGGAAGAGAGCAGAGGUAAUCUCAGAGGAGAUUUUCUGAGAAGAUAAUUUUAAAUACUUAGACUCAUUCUUUUCCAACAAAUUUAUUCUUAUGCAUCUCAGUUACUCACUGCAGUUUAAUUAAACUCAUGACAAAC
ensembl:lncRNA